CCUACGGGAGGCAGCAGUAGGGAAUCUUCCACAAUGGGCGAAAGCCUGAUGGAGCAACGCCGCGUGGAUGAAGAAGGUCUUCGGAUCGUAAAACCCUGUUGUUAGAGAAGAAAGUGCUUGAGAGUAACUGUUCACGUUUCGACGGUAUCUAACCAGAAAGCCACGGCUAACUACGUGCCAGCAGCCGCGGUAAUACGUAGGUGGCAAGCGUUAUCCGGAUUUAUUGGGCGUAAAGGGAACGCAGGCGGUCUUUUAAGUCUGAUGUGAAAGCCUUCGGCUUAACCGGAGUAGUGCAUUGGAUACUGGGAGACUUGAGUGCAGGAGAGGAGAGUGGAACUCCAUGUGUAGCGGUGAAAUGCGUAGAUAUGUGGAAGAACACCAGUGGCGAAGGCGGCUCUCUGGACUGUAACUGACGCUGAGGUUCGAAAGCGUGGGUAGCAAACAGGAUUAGAUACCCUAGUAGUC
rnacentral:rRNA from 1 species